AUAAAACGUUCAUCAGUCAACUUAAAUUAUAUUACACAAAAGUAUAAAAACAUAUGCCAUUGUAUCUGCAGCAAAUUUUAUAUUUUUAAUGGCAUUUCCUAUUUUCUUGCAGGAUCCAAGAAUCUACCUUAAAAUAGAUGUUUGGUACUCCACUAUCUGAAGUUUAUGCUAUAUUAAGAAAUCUAUUCCUUGCAGGAGAAUGUCGGCUAUCAUUAUCAGAUUUAGAUGGGCCUUGCAUUGCUGAUCUAAUUGCCAUGAGGAUUGUAGUCUUC